AUUGAACGCUGGCGGCAGGCUUAACACAUGCAAGUCGAGCGAGCGGCGGCCGGGUGAGUAAUGUCUGGGAAACUGCCUGAUGGAGGGGGAUAACUACUGGAAACGGUAGCUAAUACCGCCUACCAUCGAAUUGGCCGAGAUGGGAUUACUUAGUGGGUGGGGUAAGGGCUCACCCAGGCGACGAUCCCUGGCUGGUCUGAGAGGAGGACCAGCCACACUGGAACUGAGCCACGUUCCAGACUCCUACGGGAGGCAGAAGUGGGGAAUAUUGCACAAUGGGCGCAGGCCUGAUGCAGCCAUGCCGCGUGUGUGAAGAAGGCCUUCGGGUUGUAAAGCACUUUCAGCGAGGAGGCGUUACUCGCAGAAGAAGCACCGGCUAACUCCGUGCCAGCAGCCGCGGUAAUUC
rnacentral:rRNA from 1 species